CAUGACUGUGCUAGGAAGAGCAAUAUGAGAUAAGAUUCUGAAGUGAGGAAAGUUGCACCCUGCCUUGUCUUUUCCAAAUGCACAUGAUGGUUUUUCUGGUUUUUCUGUUUUUCCCUUCUGUGACAAAGCAAAUUUUGUUCCCUCUUAGGAGCACCCCAUCCUUGGGCAGCCUUUCUUUGUCCUGCAUCCCUGUCGAACCAAUGAAUUCAUCUCUGCUGUGCUCGGGGGCUCACAGGAGCACCACAGACAUACAAAUUACAUCAUACUGUGGCUCAGUACCGUAGGCCCAGUUGUGGGCCUGAAUCUGCCUUUGAGUUACGCAAAAGUGGCAUCUGAGCAGAGCACAAAUUUGGCUGAAAGAGCCCAGAGCUGAAGGACUGGGAGUGGUUAGGCUGUGAUAAAGCUGCUGCAGACUCCCCUAGGGAUGAAGCUGGAGGAUCCUUCCUGGCUGGUUAGCCAUGCCAGAGUGGAAAUGAUUGCUGAUGGCUCUUUCCCUGGCCAGAACUCGCCACUGAUGAGAUGGUGGGAAUUGGCUGCUGCUGUGGAAACACCUCCCCAGCACCACCCAGACCUCAUCACCUCCUCCUGUGCCCUUGGUGAGGCUGCACACAGAUGCACAAGCCGAGUUGUUGGAUCUACUGAACUUACCCCUAGAAGAUCUGCACCAUCUGCAGGGCAGAAAAUGCAAUAUAAACACAGAAAAAUUCUCAUGGGAUGUGGUGUGAGCUUGUGGCAGCCCGGGUAUGGGCUAAGACUGCUUCACCUGGGAGCCACCUUCUCCACCAGAGCCUGGUGAGGGACCAGCCCACAGAACAUCCUCAUCCUGGGAAUAUCCCACAUCUCACACCUCCUCAGGGAGCCAGCGGGGUCGGGACUGUCACAGACAGAGCCCUUGGAGCCUGAGUGCGACGAGCACGUCCAGCUCUGGAGCUCAGGUGCCUGGAGCAGCCGUGUGGGAACAUCUGGCUCUGCCGUGCUCCACUGCCUGCCAGGGAAGCUCUCCGUGCCCCCUGGGAGCUGCUGCUGUUCCCAAUUAGUGUUUCUCGUUGUACUUGUGGUUGCUCACAGGUUUGCUCCCUACCCUGCACUGUUUCUGCAGCCUCCCCUGACAGCUGUUGGCUUUUGGGGAAUUGCCUGGUGGUGCUGCCACUGAGAACCAGAUUAUGAGGAACUUCCCUACCACCCAUCCUGGCUUCUCUCCCAAUCCUGUUUUAUUUGCAGUGUAAAACGGAGCAGCUGACGUUGAAACACAGAUUUUACUUUGCACAUGCAGCAAUUGUCACUUGCACACAGAGCCUAGUGAGUGCCACGUCAGAGCUGGGAGUGUGAAGUGCAUCCAGAUCCUGGUUUUUCAGAUUAUGUUUUUAACUUCCAUUACUUGUCAUGGGUGGAUAUGGAAUACAGAGUGCAGUCCUUCAAAUUCCAUUGCUGGGGAGUUUGUUUGCCAGCCAUUUGGAAUUAAUAAUGAAAGCACAUUGUUUAUUUUGUUCUGCAUCCUAACAACCUUUCUGAAAAGCCAUUUUUCCCAUGUAAGAUUUACAAAAUAUGGCCCACAGCUACGUUAAUUUUUUUUAACACUUUUGAUAACACAUGCUUGAAAUUUGCUUCCACAGUCCAUUUGUAAAUUUAAGUGAGACUUAGAUAGGAGGAAGAACCAACAAAAAGAGGUAACAGCAGGUUUAGGAGCUGUUAAAUGUUCACCCCUGCUCUGUGAUCUUCACUUGUGAUACCCUGCAACAAAAGAAUAGAAGCACUCAGCCUUCAAAAUGUGGAAUUUAUUGUAAAAAAAUAAAUUGUUUUAUUUUACAUGGAAAAAGUCUCAACACCCUUGGUUUCUACCUUAAUUUAGUAUUUGCAAACAGAGAAGGGGAUUAUUUGACCAGGGCAUUACACAUUGUACCGGGCUCAAACAACGAGGUGACAGCACAGUGUCUCAUCAGUAUCAAUGUUUCCCUGAAAUUUGGCUGGAAAACCAAAAUUCAGCUUGGCUUGUACAAAUACAUGGAGUUUAGGUAGAGAAACAAAUACAGGCUAACAGAAAUAUUUGUGACCAAGGAGAUAAAUAAGCCCAUUUGGAUAUCUCCUUUUUAAUGGCUGGGGUG